UGGGGCAGGCCUCGCCCAAUCCCCCCGCCCGCACCACUCCCUCCCUGCCCCACGCCCAAUCCCCUCGCCCACACCGCUCCCUCCCUCCUCGAUCUCUCUCCCUGGCCAGCCGCCAUUGGUGGGAAAACCUAGUCCGCCGCCACUCGCGCCCGUCUCCUCCGGCCAGCCUCCACCCACAACCUCCCCCCUCCCGUUUUCAGAAGGGAAGGGAGGGAAGGGAAGAGAAGAGGGGUAGCAAGCGGGUCAGGUGGCCAUGGCGCUUGCAGAUCCACCGGCCCCGUCGUCGACGCUGUGCUCGCAGGAGCAUGGCCUCGAUCUGGCGCAGGAGAGGCCAGGAGUGACAUGGUCACAUGGGAGCAGCUCGGCUGCUUGCCGGUGGUGAUGGAUGCACUCAGACCUGUGGCCCGGUCUCGCCGCCGUGCGCCGUCCACCUCCCCGCAGGCAUGCCGGCCACCUCCCCAUCUGACGCACAUCUUCCCCAUGGGUCCAUGGUACACGUGAGUUCCACACAUUUUGAAGCUACAACCGCUGGAAACCAGUGAAGAAUGAAGAAAGGUGGAUCCACCAGCAGCUUCAAAUAGCAUGAGGAGAUCUGGACGGAGUUCGUGUAUCAGCAACCAUGGUAGCGCGUCCUCCGACCUCGACCUAGGCUGGAGCCAAAUUCAGUUUUGUCUGCAUUCAACUGCAGGUUCUUUAAUGUAUUUUUGUAAGUGGAAUCUGACUUCUCAUGGUCUGCCUAAACAAUGAUUAGUCUAUUGUAAUUGAACUAGGUCCAUGGCUUUAAGAAAUUGAGCGAAAUCUACUUUUUCAGGAUUUAAACCCAAUCAUUCAUAUUUGUUGCGACCAAAUGUUCUGUUAUAACUUUAAAAUUGAAAACCAAGUUUCCCUGGACAAUUAUACUUUUUUGUGAGCUUAUUAUUCACAAGCUAUAGUGAUAUGGUAUUAUGGGCUUUGCUCCCAACAUGAUAAGGAAGAAAGAACUGCAGGCUAUAUUGUUCGUUGACAUUCAUGAUCCGCGCUCGCAGGUUCCGACUCUUGUGAGCUACUGCUGCAGAUGAUAUUAGGUCCCCAUCCUUGCUACUGGCUCCUAAUUUUUGUGUGAUGAACAAAUGGUUUAGAUUUACCGUGUAAAGCUGAGAUUCUACAUUGGUUUGGAAUUUAACUGGUUACCUUUGUUUAAUUUAAUGCCAUGUGAAACCUAAUGUAGAUGUUCAUGUCUUCCCAACGAUGUUAGUAGAAAGAUUUUUUUUUGCUUUCUUCAUAGUGUAAAUCUGUUGUUCAAGCUUCAAAUGUAUCUUGUUUAUUAUCUUUCCUUUUCUGCAAACUAAUGGACCAUAUUUCUACUCAAACAGAGGCAAAGACAUCUUCUUAAUGUUGCAGAAGUUUGGAGGCAUCAAGGAAUGCAUCCUCCUCUUGCUAUGCAAACUGAGGAAAUCAAAGUGAUGGGAAAGCAUUGUACAACAGCUUUUGACUUCAGGAUAUUUCAUGGAUGAGUUAUACUCCUUGACUCCCAUGGAUGCAUCCUCUGCUUGCUACACAAACUGAGGAAACCAAAGCAGCAAAGCAUUGUACUGCAGAUGUCGACUUCGGAAUAUCUCAUGGACCAGUUAUACUCCUUGAUGCUCAUGUAAAAUUAACUUAUUUUGCUCUCUGCAAUUGCAUAAUAGAACGGUUGAGCUAAACAUCUCGCUGCUGAUAUUUUCAAAUGUAUUGCAACCACUGUACAACCCAUCCAUCGUAAUUGAUAUGUUGAGACUGGAUCGUAGUAGUUGUUCUGCCUCAUCUAUCACUAUCUGCGGGCUUGCUUUGAUUAUGUGUCUCCCAACUUUCUGUAACUAAAAAGCAGCCUGUAAAUGUAGCUUGAAUAAAAAUGGUACCUUUCAGUUUUGUGCAAGUUCAAAGUAUUAGUAGUUUCAGUUUGUCCAAUUUUUGCAGGGAUAUUGUGUGAGGUCUAGUACAAACUUUUAAGACAAUCACUUAAUACAUUCAUGGGAUCACCAACUUUUGGCGUUUGUUGAUACUAGCUAGGUGGGGCCAUGAAUUCCUAGAGGAUUGUGGCAAUUAUCCUGCUUCGCUUGCAAGAUUGGUUUCUAAAAAUAUCAUGGCACCAAGCCGUCCGCUGUUGUGUCUGCCUGAAGAAGGAUUAUGGUUCUCCACCUCUUUGCUACUCAUAUUAAAAUUCCAGUAUGUUCUUUCUUUCUUUAUUUUCUUUCAAGAAAAAGGUGGAACUUGUUCUUAAUUUCCUAUGAUGAUUUCAAUGGCAAUUUGUCAGUGUAUUUCUAGCUGGAAUUGUAUGUAUAUCUUACAAAUUUGCAUUGCAACAAAUUAGUAACGAGAAUAGAAGCGUUUGCACCCAUCUAACAUAUUUGUAUGGUAUUUUUCAAAAGCUCAAGCUUAGAGAUGUGGCGCUGUAUGAGGCUAUCAUUAGGAUGGAAGAUAAAUUGAAUGUUAAAAUAUUGCUUGAAUUUCCUUUGUUCUGUAAAUGGCAAUACAAGAUAUGUUGCGCCAUGGUUUUUUUCCAAAAAAAUAACAACUAGCAAUUAACGACACAUCAAAUGUUCUGUGGAUUAUUUUGUCAGGUUGGAUUUAGUAGGUCAUAAUGGUUUUAUUCUAUGACGGGAUUAAUUUUGUUUGUACUUUAACCAGUUCAAGGUUUGGUGGUCGAGCACUAUGAUCUUUGCACACUAAGGUUCGGUUGUGUUCUUUGAGAAAUAUAUGUCCUACAAGUCUCAUGUGUCUUGUUUUGUUUUCUCUUAUCAAGCUACAAGCUUUUGAUAUACUUCAAACGUGAUUCUUUAUAUGUUGUUUGAUCCAUCAAUCGUAAAAUGUAAAUUAGCAAUUAGGCGUCGACAUAGUAUAGUGGAACCAUUGUGCUUGAUGCAGUUUUAUUUUAGUGUUGAAAUGUUUUUCUUAGUUUGUUUGGUGUUGAGAAAUAUAUUCUUUUUCCAACAAAUGUGCCAUUGAUGGGUAUUAUUUUGCCACAAAGGAUAGGAGCUGUGCCAUUUGACUCGAAGGAUAAAGCGUUCAUCACAAGGGGGUGGUCUUUAGGAUGUACACAAAAGAGGAAAUUUCCUUUUGUAUAGAACCAAAUUAUAUGAUGUAAUUGGCCAUUCUCUUGUACACAAUGUUUAUCAUGUAUUAAGUACAUUUUAUUGUCAAAUAUGUUUACUUUUUUUA